rnacentral:lncRNA from 1 species
AUGAAAAGGAGGCACAGGGCGUGGUGUCGAGAGCAGCGACGUUUGGGAGACCAGCUCCCGGAAGCCAAGGAGCCUGGAUUUCCAGAGUCCCGGGGGCGUCUGGUGCCUGCUGCCACAUGGGCACAUAAUAGAGGCUCAAUAAACACCGGAGAGGGAAGGACGGGGAGGACUGGGGACUGCCCCAGGUUAGCUGGUCGCACGCACUCCAAGGUCCAGGGUCUUAACCACUGGGCUACCCGGCCUCCCCACAAGACACCCUGCGGAAUCGGUGGCCUGCUGCCACCACGGACAUCCCAAGUCAGCACCAGCACGGGGCUUCCGGGGGAGGGGUGGCCUCCAUCACAAGGCCAAGAUUUUCUUGGGUUCUGUAAAUGGCUUCCUAAAGUCUCCUCCUUCCCUGGGGGUGGGGGGCGCAGACUUGGGGGCCCUGGCAUGGUCCCCUCCCUGGCUGAGGUCACCCCCUGCACACGAGGGUCAAGUGCACGCCUCACCAAAAUGCAGUGUCCUGCAAAGCCCAGUCGAUCAGGCAGCACCCACGUGCCCCCGUGACCCGGACACUAAGGCAGAGUGGAGCAGAGCCGCGCAGAAAAUUUCCCACGGCAACGGAGCAGCAGGGACAAGGGAUGAGUCCAAGGAGCUCGUGAAUCCAGCUCAGCAGAUCACACUCAGCCUGUCUCAGGACCUUUGCACACGCUGUUCCUGCUGCCUCAUAGACCUCCCCUUGGCCUCCUUGCCCGGCCGACUGUCACUCACUGGAUCUCAGUUUAGACAUUUCUCUAAGGUACCCUUCUGAACCCCGGCUCACCUGACCAGGUGAGUUAACUGUUCAACUCCAUCCCUGAGGGACGGCUUCAUAGCAUCUCCCAGCGUGCACCGAACUUGCCACCUGUGCAAGGGUUUGACUGACACUUGUCUCCUCCUUCAGACGACGCACCCUGUGGGGACAGGGACCGUGCCUGCUUGGUUCAGCCCUGCACCCCCAGCACCUGGCCUAAGGCCUGACACAAAAGGAACGCUCAAUAAAUCCCCACAGUUAAAGGAAUGAGGCAAGAGACCCAAAGCCAGAACAGCUGGUCCCACUGCGGUCCAUUUCUCCAUCCGAGAGAGGGACCGCAAAACCGCCAUCCACAGGGCCCUCCCAAUGCCUCGGUGACAGGUCAGGGCCACAGCGUUCGAGCUGGUGGGGGAGGGCGAUCCGGGGACAUAAACCCACUCCCCUCAGCCCCGCCGCUUGGCGGUGGCCGGUGUCCCUCCUGUCCCACCCAGCGCUGGCUGGGCUCUAAUUGAUUCCUGCCAGACCCCUCUGCAGAAGGGGGAGGCGGUGUUGACGGGGGCAGAGGCAGAGGACAGGCCUAUUCUUCCUGCUGUAUUUAAUGCUGCUGCUAAUCACGGAGAUUAGACUCCAACAAUUACAACAGCUAAUUAAAGAACAAUGCGGUUUUUGGCAUCUUGGCGCAGACGGCACCGCUGGGAAUUCCUAACUCGGGCAAAGCAGGGAUAAUUAAAGCCCAGCUCGGCGCCCCCCCCCCCCACCCUGGCAUCUGGAUCACGCUGAUUAAACUGCAAAUAAAACACAUGAAACCAACACUUUGUAGUCUAUCCAAUUUCACUUAAAGGGGCUUUUAACU